rnacentral:rRNA from 1 species
GGGUUGUGAGGUUAAGCGACUAAGCGUACACGGUGGAUGCCCUGGCAGUCAGAGGCGAUGAAGGACGUGCUAAUCUGCGAUAAGCGUCGGUAAGGUGAUAUGAACCGUUAUAACCGGCGAUUUCCGAAUGGGGAAACCCAGUGUGAUUCGUCACACUAUCAUUAACUGAAUCCAUAGGUUAAUGAGGCGAACCGGGGGAACUGAAACAUCUAAGUACCCCGAGGAAAAGAAAUCAACCGAGAUUCCCCAGUAGCGGCGAGCGAACGGGGAGCAGCCCAGAGCCUGAAUCAGUGUGUGUGUUAGUGGAAGCGUCUGGAAAGGCGCGCGAUACAGGGUGACAGCCCCGUACACAAAAAUGCACAUACUGUGAGCUCGAUGAGUAGGGCGGGACACGUGGUAUCCUGUCUGAAUAUGGGGGGACCAUCCUCCAAGGCUAAAUACUCCUGACUGACCGAUAGUGAACCAGUACCGUGAGGGAAAGGCGAAAAGAACCCCGGCGAGGGGAGUGAAAAAGAACCUGAAACCGUGUACGUACAAGCAGUGGGAGCACAGAGCAAUCUGUGUGACUGCGUACCUUUUGUAUAAUGGGUCAGCGACUUAUAUUCUGUAGCAAGGUUAACCGAAUAGGGGAGCCGAAGGGAAACCGAGUCUUAACUGGGCGUUAAGUUGCAGGGUAUAGACCCGAAACCCGGUGAUCUAGCCAUGGGCAGGUUGAAGGUUGGGUAACACUAACUGGAGGACCGAACCGACUAAUGUUGAAAAAUUAGCGGAUGACUUGUGGCUGGGGGUGAAAGGCCAAUCAAACCGGGAGAUAGCUGGUUCUCCCCGAAAGCUAUUUAGGUAGCGCCUCGUGAAUUCAUCUCCGGGGGUAGAGCACUGUUUCGGCAAGGGGGUCAUCCCGACUUACCAACCCGAUGCAAACUGCGAAUACCGGAGAAUGUUAUCACGGGAGACACACGGCGGGUGCUAACGUCCGUCGUGAAGAGGGAAACAACCCAGACCGCCAGCUAAGGUCCCAAAGUCAUGGUUAAGUGGGAAACGAUGUGGGAAGGCCCAGACAGCCAGGAUGUUGGCUUAGAAGCAGCCAUCAUUUAAAGAAAGCGUAAUAGCUCACUGGUCGAGUCGGCCUGCGCGGAAGAUGUAACGGGGCUAAACCAUGCACCGAAGCUGCGGCAGCGACACUGUGUGUUGUUGGGUAGGGGAGCGUUCUGUAAGCCUGUGAAGGUGUGCUGUGAGGCAUGCUGGAGGUAUCAGAAGUGCGAAUGCUGACAUAAGUAACGAUAAAGCGGGUGAAAAGCCCGCUCGCCGGAAGACCAAGGGUUCCUGUCCAACGUUAAUCGGGGCAGGGUGAGUCGACCCCUAAGGCGAGGCCGAAAGGCGUAGUCGAUGGGAAACAGGUUAAUAUUCCUGUACUUGGUGUUACUGCGAAGGGGGGACGGAGAAGGCUAUGUUGGCCGGGCGACGGUUGUCCCGGUUUAAGCGUGUAGGCUGGUUUUCCAGGCAAAUCCGGAAAAUCAAGGCUGAGGCGUGAUGACGAGGCACUACGGUGCUGAAGCAACAAAUGCCCUGCUUCCAGGAAAAGCCUCUAAGCAUCAGGUAACAUCAAAUCGUACCCCAAACCGACACAGGUGGUCAGGUAGAGAAUACCAAGGCGCUUGAGAGAACUCGGGUGAAGGAACUAGGCAAAAUGGUGCCGUAACUUCGGGAGAAGGCACGCUGAUAUGUAGGUGAAGUCCCUCGCGGAUGGAGCUGAAAUCAGUCGAAGAUACCAGCUGGCUGCAACUGUUUAUUAAAAACACAGCACUGUGCAAACACGAAAGUGGACGUAUACGGUGUGACGCCUGCCCGGUGCCGGAAGGUUAAUUGAUGGGGUCAGCGCAAGCGAAGCUCUUGAUCGAAGCCCCGGUAAACGGCGGCCGUAACUAUAACGGUCCUAAGGUAGCGAAAUUCCUUGUCGGGUAAGUUCCGACCUGCACGAAUGGCGUAAUGAUGGCCAGGCUGUCUCCACCCGAGACUCAGUGAAAUUGAACUCGCUGUGAAGAUGCAGUGUACCCGCGGCAAGACGGAAAGACCCCGUGAACCUUUACUAUAGCUUGACACUGAACAUUGAGCCUUGAUGUGUAGGAUAGGUGGGAGGCUUUGAAGUGUGGACGCCAGUCUGCAUGGAGCCGACCUUGAAAUACCACCCUUUAAUGUUUGAUGUUCUAACGUGGACCCGUGAUCCGGGUUGCGGACAGUGUCUGGUGGGUAGUUUGACUGGGGCGGUCUCCUCCUAAAGAGUAACGGAGGAGCACGAAGGUUGGCUAAUCCUGGUCGGACAUCAGGAGGUUAGUGCAAUGGCAUAAGCCAGCUUGACUGCGAGCGUGACGGCGCGAGCAGGUGCGAAAGCAGGUCAUAGUGAUCCGGUGGUUCUGAAUGGAAGGGCCAUCGCUCAACGGAUAAAAGGUACUCCGGGGAUAACAGGCUGAUACCGCCCAAGAGUUCAUAUCGACGGCGGUGUUUGGCACCUCGAUGUCGGCUCAUCACAUCCUGGGGCUGAAGUAGGUCCCAAGGGUAUGGCUGUUCGCCAUUUAAAGUGGUACGCGAGCUGGGUUUAGAACGUCGUGAGACAGUUCGGUCCCUAUCUGCCGUGGGCGCUGGAGAACUGAGGGGGGCUGCUCCUAGUACGAGAGGACCGGAGUGGACGCAUCACUGGUGUUCGGGUUGUCAUGCCAAUGGCACUGCCCGGUAGCUAAAUGCGGAAGAGAUAAGUGCUGAAAGCAUCUAAGCACGAAACUUGCCCCGAGAUGAGUUCUCCCUGACCCUUUAAGGGUCCUGAAGGAACGUUGAAGACGACGACGUUGAUAGGCCGGGUGUGUAAGCGCAGCGAUGCGUUGAGCUAACCGGUACUAAUGAACCGUGAGGCUUAACCUUACAACGCCGAAGGUGUUU